AUUGAACGCUGGCGGCAGGCCUAACACAUGCAAGUCGAGUGGAUGAAGGGAGCUUGCUCCUGGAUUCAGCGGCGGACGGGUGAGUAAUGCCUAGGAAUCUGCCUGAUAGUGGGGGAUAACGUCCGGAAACGGGCGCUAAUACCGCAUACGUCCUGAGGGAGAAAGUGGGGGAUCUUCGGACCUCACGCUAUCAGAUGAGCCUAGGUCGGAUUAGCUAGUUGGUGGGGUAAAGGCCUACCAAGGCGACGAUCCGUAACUGGUCUGAGAGGAUGAUCAGUCACAGUGGAAAUGAGAAACGGGACAGAACACCAGGGGGGGCAGAAGUGGGGAAUAUGGGAAAAGGGGGGAAAGCAUGAUCCAGCCAGGGGGUGGGGGGGAAGAAGGUCUUCGGAUUGUAAAGCACUUUAAGGUGGGAGGAAGGGAAAUAAGUUAAAACCUUGUUGUUUUGACGUGAAAAACAGAAAAAACAACGGACAACUUAGG
rnacentral:rRNA from 1 species